rnacentral:rRNA from 1 species
GACAAGAAAUAACAAUACGGGGCUUAAAGUCUUGUAAUUGGAAUGAUGGGAAUUUAAACCUCUUCCAGAGUAUCAAUUGGAGGGCAAGUCUGGUGCCAGCAGCCGCGGUAAUUCCAGCUCCAAUAGCGUAUAUUAAAAUUGUUGCAGUUAAAAAGCUCGUAGUUGAAUUUCUGCUGUAUUGCAUUUUCUCUUUUUAUAUGAGUUUUUGCAUUAUGGCUUAUUUCAGUAUUAAUUUUUUAUUAUUACUGAAUGUUUACUUUGAGAAAAUUAGAGUGCUCAAAGCAGGCUUUUGCCUUGAAUAGUUUAGCAUGGAAUAAUAAAGUAGGACUUUGGUUCUAUUUUGUUGGUUUUAGGUACCAAAGUAAUGGUUAAUAGGAACAGUUGGGGGCAUUCGUAUUUAACUGUCAGAGGUGAAAUUCUUAG